rnacentral:rRNA from 1 species
CCUACGGGUGGCUGCAGUGGGGAAUAUUGGGCAAUGGAGGAAACUCUGACCCAGCAACGCCGCGUGAAUGAUGAAGGUCUUCGGAUUGUAAAGUUCUUUUUUAAGGGAAGAAGAAAGUGACGGUACCUUAGGAAUAAGCCUCGGCUAACUACGUGCCAGCAGCCGCGGUAAUACGUAGGAGGCGAGCGUUAUCCGGAAUGACUGGGCGUAAAGGGUGCGUAGGUGGUUUGGCAAGUUAGUAGCGUAACUCCAAGGCUCAACCGUGGAAGUACUACUAAAACUGUUGGACUUGAGUGCAGGAGAGGCAGGCGGAAUUCGUGGUGUAGCGGUGAAAUGCUUAGAUAUCAGGAGGAACACCGAUGGCGAAGGCGGGUUGCUAGACUGUAACUGACACUGAGGCACGAAAGCGUGGGGAGCAAACAGGAUUAGAUACCCCGGUAGUC